UUAAUUGAAGAGUUUGAUCAUGGCUCAGAUUGAACGCUGGCGGCAGGCCUAACACAUGCAAGUCGAGCGGAAACGGCAGUAUUGAAGCUUCGGUGGAUUUACUGGACGUCGAGCGGCGGACGGGUGAGUAACGGCUGGGAACCUGCCCUGACGAGGGGGAUAACCGUUGGAAACGACGGCUAAUACCGCAUAAUGUCUACGGACCAAAGGUGGCCUCUACAUGUAAGCUAUCGCGUCGGGAUGGGCCCAGUUAGGAUUAGCUAGUUGGUAAGGUAACGGCUUACCAAGGCGACGAUCCUUAGCUGGUUUGAGAGGAUGAUCAGCCACACUGGGACUGAGACACGG
rnacentral:rRNA from 1 species